GCGCCCUUAGCUCAGUUGGUAGAGCAACCCGUUUACACCGGGAAGGUCGGGGGUUCGAGUCCCUCAGGGCGCACCA
rnacentral:tRNA from 1 species